CCGGCGACCGGCGCACGGGUGAGCAACACGUAUGCAACCUGCCCUCUUCGAGGGGACAACCUUCCGAAAGGGAGGCUAAUCCCGCGUAUAUCGGGUUUCGGGCAUCCGAGAUCGAGGAAAGAUUCAUCGGAAGAGGAUGGGCAUGCGGCGCAUUAGCUAGACGGCGGGGUAACGGCCCACCGUGGCGACGAUGCGUAGGGGUUCUGAGAGGAAGGUCCCCCACACUGGUACUGAGACACGGACCAGACUCCUACGGGAGGCAGCAG
rnacentral:rRNA from 1 species